rnacentral:rRNA from 1 species
CAGCCGCCGCGGUAAUACGUAGGGUGCAAGCGUUAAUCGGAAUUACUGGGCGUAAAGCGUGCGCAGGCGGUUAUAUAAGACAGAUGUGAAAUCCCAGGGCUCAACCUGGGAACUGCAUUUGUGACUGUAUAGCUAGAGUACGGCAGAGGGGGAUGGAAUUCCGCGUGUAGCAGUGAAAUGCGUAGAUAUGCGGAGGAACACCGAUGGCGAAGGCAAUCCCCUGGGCCUGUACUGACGCUCAUGCACGAAAGCGUGGGGAGCAAACAGGAUUAGAUACCCCCGUAGUCCCUGUCUCUUAUAC